UCAAAAUAAUAAUGGCAGACAUUUGAGAAACAAUGCCCCAAGGUUUGCAAUAAUAGUUAUGCAUGUAAAAAGCAUGACAUCUAGGCCACCAAUGGUUGCAAAUGCCAAGAUAAUGAAAUUCCUUGACAUAAGCCUCAUUAUAAAGCUGGUUGAAGAAUUCGGGUAACAUUGCUCGAAGCUAAUGAGGUUGCGAAACUCGGAUUCUGUCAUUUCUUAUAAGGCCAUCUACGUUUGCGACAACUUGAUCAAGUGUUGCUUAGUUUUUUGUUAGUGAUGUGACAAUACGAAUCACCGUUAAUGCUUCCGAAUGAGGACUUAAAUUUUACAAUGAAGGUAGAUGCUUUUUCAUCGAGGAUGCUAGCUCUGUCCAAGUCAAAGCGCCUGAAAUUGGGUUUGGUGGAGAUAAAGAGGGGUGCAUGCUUAGGCUUCCCCCUGGUCCUUUUGCACCCUUUAAGCACUCAUGGAAAAGAUGGAAGUGCGGGAUACGAAAAAUCUCAAUAUUUGUUUUGGUUUUGAUGGUUUAUAUAUAGAAAGGUUAUUAGUUUAUCUUAAUCGUCUUCCUUCUGCAACUGCAAAAGGUAGCAUAUGUCUUGAUUAGUUUAUUUCUACGUAGCUCUCUGCGAGUUGUG
rnacentral:lncRNA from 1 species